rnacentral:rRNA from 1 species
GUGGGGAAUAUUGGGCAAUGGGCGAAAGCCUGACCCAGCAACGCCGCGUGAAGGAAGAAGGUCUUCGGAUCGUAAACUUCUAUCCUUGGUGAAGAUAAUGACGGUAGCCGAGAAGGAAGCCCCGGCUAACUACGUGCCAGCAGCCGCGGUAAUACGUAGGGGGCAAGCGUUGUCCGGAAUGAGUGGGCGUAAAGGGCGCGUAGGCGGCCUGGUAAGUCUGGAGUGAAAGUCCUGCUUUUAAGGUGGGAAUUGCUUUGGAUACUGUCGGGCUUGAGUGCAGGAGAGGUAAGUGGAAUUCACGGUGUAGCGGUGAAAUGCGUAGAGAUCGGGAGGAACACCAGUGGCGAAGGCGGCUUACUGGACUGUAACUGACGCUGAGGCGCGAAAGUGUGGGGAGCAAACAGGAUUAGAAACCCGAGUAGUCC